rnacentral:lncRNA from 1 species
GGCUAAAUUCAAAUGUAUGUAAUAUGGAUUUAAUUUACUUGUGGUUCGAUUUGAUGAUUCCAAUCUAUGAUACGCUCUUCUUGAUAAAAGAUGUGGUUGUGUAUCGUUUUAAAGUGGUAAAAUAGUAGGCAGAAUCUCGAAAAGCAAAUCGAUGUGGAGGUUGUGUGUUAUUUCGCCUAUUGUUCGUGGAAUAUGACAACUUGUUUUCUCCAUUUCGAAUCUCAUGGUCAUUAUACUCGCUCUAAGUUUGGUUUAUGUGUUUGUUGAUCACUAGGACAUCGUCCUGUCUCUAUUUUUUGUAGUAGUUUUCUUGUUUUGGCUAUGUGUUCUGAAGGUGUCAAAGAAACUAUCAUGUUGUU